rnacentral:lncRNA from 1 species
AUUUCUGAGUUUUCUGUUUGACGAUCGGUGGUCAAACGUUAUCAGUUUUGGCCCAAAUUUUAUGUGGAGAAUCCUUGCAGCAAACUCUACAAUCCUAACGGUGUUGAUCUACAGUUUACCCUCUCUAAGGUACUUUCCUACGAUAUCCACUCUAUGAGACCUAGAAUUCUCUUUUGAGGAGAUCCAUCCUACAUGAUGAAGAUAUGCUAUUGUUGAGCCAAGAUCUAUGUUCUUGAUGUUAUUCUGAUCCUCUAGUUAUUCUAGAGAAGACCUACUGUAAACCUGUUAUCAUUAUUAUUGAUAGUGG